ensembl:snRNA U1 U1 spliceosomal RNA
AUACUUACUUGGCAGGUAAGUAUAUGUGCCUGCCUGAUCAGGCAGGUGGUUUUCCCAGGACGAGGCUCAUCCCUUGCACUCCGGGUGUGCUGACCCCUGCGAUUUCCCCAAAUGCGGGAAACUCGACUGCAUAAUUUGUGGGAGUGGGGGACUGCGUUUGCGCUCUCCCCUG